GAUGAACGCUGACAGCAUGCUUAACACAUGCAAGUCAACUGUGGCGGACGGGUGAGUAACGCGUAAAGAACUUGCCUCACAGAUAGGGACAACAUUUGGAAACGAAUGCUAAUACCUGAUACUGUGAGAGAGCUUUGCGUCCCAUUAGCUAGUUGGAGAGGUAACGGCUCACGAAGGCGAGGAUGGGUAGCCGGCCUGAGAGGGUGAUCGGCCACAAGGGGACUGAGAAGCGGCCCUUACUCAUUCUGGGGGCAGGAGUGGGGAAUAUUGGACAAUGGGCCAAAGUCUGAUCCAGCAAUUCUGGGUGUACAAUAAAGUUUUCGGAAUGUAAAGUGCGUUCAGUUGAGAAGCGGUACCAACAGAAGAAGUAACGGCUAAAUACGUGCCAGCAGCCGCGGUAAUAC
rnacentral:rRNA from 1 species